AUUGAACGCUGGCGGCAGGCCUAACACAUGCAAGUCGAGCGAGCGGCGGACGGGUGAGUAAUGUAUGGGGACCGCCCGUUAGAGGGGGAUAACUACUGGAAACGGUAGCUAAAACCCCAUAUUACCGGAUAACCCAGAUGGGAUUAGCUAGUAGGUGGGGUAAUGGCUCACCUAGGCGACGAUCCCUAGCUGGUCUGAGAGGAUGUUCAGCCACACUGGAGCUGGUACACGGCCCAGACGCCUACGGAGGCAGCAGAGGGGAAUAUGGCACAAGGGGCGCAAGCCUGAUGCAGCCAUGCCGCGUGUAAUAAGGAGGCCCUAGGGUUGUAAAGUACUUUCAGUCGGGAGGCGUUACCGACAUAAGAAGCACCGGCUAACUCCGUGCCAGCAGCCGCGGUAAUAC
rnacentral:rRNA from 1 species